rnacentral:lncRNA from 1 species
UUCCAUUCCAUUCCAUUCCAUUCCUCUCGGGUUGAUUCCAUUAAAUUCCAUUCCCUUUUAUUCCAUUCCAUUCCAUUCCAUUGCAUUCCAUUCCAUUCCAUUCCAUACCAUUCCACCAAAGUUGAUUGCAUGCUAUUCCAUUCCAUUCCAUUCCAUUCCGUUCCUUUCCACUUGGGUUGAUUCCAUUCCAUUCAAUUCCGUUCCAUUCCGUUCCGUUCCGUUCCGUUCCAUUCCAUUCCAUUCCAUUCCAUUCCAUUCCAUUCCAUUCCGUUCCGUUCCAUUCCAUUCCAUUCAUUUCCAUUCCUUUCCAUUGCACUCCACUCGGGUUGAUUCCAUUCCAUUCCAUUC